rnacentral:lncRNA from 1 species
AUUUAGCCUGUGACCACGGGCCACACCCUGAGCCUUCUGGUAAACCUGAAGAGUGGUCCUUCUCAAUCUGUUUCCCAACGAUGACCUUACACGCUCAUACUGUGAAUUUGGGAGGAGGUAAAAUGGACUUCUCCUUGGGGGCAGUUUUCCCAGUCACCUUGUGAGUAGACACCUGUCAAUAUUGUUUGAAACUUUUUAACUUUUUUUUUUUCUUUUUUAGUGAUACCUUCUCUUUCUCUUCUCCCCUCUCCUACAGACUUCCCUCCCACUGGGUCCAGGCUCAGAACCAAGAUCUCUGUCCCUGGUGCUGCCUGACUAGUGACUGGUGAUUUCAAGUAGCGUAGCCCUUGUGUGAUUCACAACUCCGUGUCCUUCCUAAAGUUUCGGGAAGCAGGGUUGUCUGAUAUGCACAAUUCUUAUUUUGGCCAUAUUUUACUUUAGUGUCACUCACCUUUGACAAAGUGACUUUGUACUCAUUUAGGGCUCUGUCCAAAAUGCUUCCAUUUUGCCUUUUUCUACAGUUAGGCUAAUCUUGAAAUGUAUGAAAUUCUAUGCAACAUUUAUGUUGAGUUACCAAUGGAAGCCAAAAGUCUUCUUCCCAAACUGCCAAGAAUUAUACAGGCCAUAAAUGAGAGGGGAAUAUCUUUUAAUUUAAAUUUGGGGGUGGGGUAGGGGUGGGACAAGGAACGAGACUUACCUAGACCUUUGUUGUGUCUUGGGGACAUUUUUUAUUUUACUGUUGAUGCUUCAACUUCAAAAUUCUGUGUAUUCAAAUUUGAUCGUGGCGAAUCUACUUCAAAAGGAAAAAAUAAUCCAACUUUGUGGAUACUAAAUGGAAGGUUUGCUGUUUUAAUCUAGUUUCCAGUGGAGCAGUUUAUGAAAUAUGUCCUAUAAGAUGUACAUUUUUUCAUUGUAACAUAGAAAUUGUAAAUAAUUGAUUAAAGUGCUGCAUUUUGAUGAAUUUUUUCUAGCCAUUUUUAAAGAGAAAACUAGGAAUUGAGUAUUUUGUGUACGGUAUGUUUCCUUCCUCCUUCCCUCCCUCCCUCCCUAUUUAAUUUUCAUUUGUCAUGAGGUUUUUGGAUUUGCCAAUGAUCUACUGGAGAUCAUGCCCCACGUCAUAGAGAAUAAAGCUGAUGAUUGUA